UCAAAAACGACAAGUGAGCUCCUUUAAAGCCAGUCUAAAAACCGGCAUCUGUUACCUAAAAUCGCUUUUAUUUAGUUGAUUUUACUUUAAAAAUGGUCGUAGGAUGCAGCGCGGUCGGCUUUAGAAACGGAGAAGGACAGAAACCAAACUUUUAUUUUAUGACUUUUAAUGAGGAAAGAUACAGCGGUGAUGGAUAUCAGCCGUUAAUCAUGACUGUAAUAAGCCCUCGGUGAAAUCGCGGAUUUACAGCGAACACUUUUUAAAGUCUUGUUGGGCUAUGAGACGAGCCUUCGAUGUAAAACCAUUUCCCAUCAGAUGAGUCACAACCACGGAGGACAUUUCAAGAUUUGCCUGAUUAUUCCUCUGAAAGGUGCUUGGAGCUCAUUGCCAGGUUACAGACAGGUAGCGCUGCUGAAAAUCUGUCUAAGUGGAGGUGUUUCUGAGUAACGACGACUUGUUAGCUGCUGGCUGAAGAGUGAAAACACCGCGCUGUAGUGUCACCUCUGCCUGACUCUCCUCUCGGUUAAAAUGACAGAUGCAGACAGGCUCUGUAAGCCAGAUGGAGCUGCAUGAAUUCACACAUCAUUUCCAGUGAAAGCUCACUGACUUUAAAUAGUGUCUUAACAAAAGUCUUUGAGGGGCUUGGGGUGCUGGUUCACCAGAAACUACAUGAAAACACCAAAAUAUCACACAAAAGUUUCCCCCUCGAGACAAAGACUUGGGCGACGUUAACGUCUGGAAAAUGGGAUUAUGACUCAUGCUUCACAGUGGAAAAUUAAAACGGCAGCUCUUAUUCAGACGUAAUGUCUCUGUACGGGUGUCACAGGCUCCCCACAAGGUGUUUAGAGAGCAACUAAUGCCGACAUGCAACCCCGUUUUUACGGAUUGAUCUUCCAGUGGUGGAGUCACGGAGGGGGCCGGGUGCACGGCGCGUCUCUUGCGGGCGCCGCAUGAUGUCCCCUGACAGAUUGAGGCUGCAAGCUCGUCUUUACCGCCUGUCUGUAUGUUCAUGUUUGAGGGUUUUAGGAGAAUCAAAAUAAUGGGGAAACGAAGUGCACUGCUGGGGAGAAGCACGCUUCAGCUUCAUUUGUUUGUUCAAGCAAAGAAAUUAAAAAAAAAAAAUGACAAGAAAACAAGUUCUAUAAACCAAAUAAGCAGUUAGUGAGAUUUUAUUUAUUUUUACUGCAAAAACGCAAAAUCUGACCAAGUAUUUUUGGUCUAG